rnacentral:rRNA from 1 species
AACGUAGGGGGCCAGCGUUGCUCGGAAUUACUGGGCGUAAAGGGUCCGUAGGCGGUGUGGCAAGUCGGUAGUGAAAUCUCUGGGCUUAACCCAGAGGCUGCUGCCGAAACUGCCGUGCUAGAGUGUGAGAGAGGCGAGUGGAAUUACGGGUGUAGCGGUGAAAUGCGUAGAUAUCUGCAGGAACACCCGUGGCGAAGGCGGCUGGCUGGACCGCAACUGACGCUGAGGAACGAAAGCUAGGGGAGCAAACAG